GAUGAACGCUGGCGGCGUGCCUAAUACAUGCAAGUCGAGCGAACAGACGAGGAGCUUGCUCCUCUGACGUUAGCGGCGGAUGGGUGAGUAACACGUGGAUAACCUACCUAUAAGACUGGGAUAACUUCGGGAAACCGGAGCUAAUACCGGAUAAUAUAUUGAACCGCAUGGUUCAAUAGUGAAAGACGGUUUUGCUGUCACUUAUAGAUGGAUCCGCGCCGCAUUAGCUAGUUGGUAAGGUAACGGCUUACCAAGGCAACGAUGCGUAGCCGACCUGAGAGGGUGAUCGGCCACACUGGAACUGAGACACGGUCCAGACUCCUACGGGAGGCAGCAGUAGGGAAUCUUCCGCAAUGGGCGAAAGCCUGACGGAGCAACGCCACGUGAGUGAUGAAGGUCUUCGGAUCGUAAAACUCUGUUAUUAGGGAAGAACAAAUGUGUAAGUAACUAUGCACGUCUUGACGGUACCUAAUCAGAAAGCCACGGCUAACUACGUG
rnacentral:rRNA from 1 species